GACGAGCGCUGCCUGCGAUGACCUCAUCCCUGGUGUGGGAUGACGUCAAAUUCAAGAUGGAUGGAAUCACGGCGGCAGCGGCGGCGGCUGCGGGCUGCGCGAGCCGAGCGUGAGAGGAAGGGGAUCCGGCGGCUGCCCGGGGGCUGAAGAGCGGUAUCAGAGAGUGGCCAAAGGGCAAAGGAAAGAGAAUCACUUUCUGCCUGAGGAGACCUGGCUGGCAUCACCCCAACCUAAGGAGGCAAUGUAUGAAGACAAGCAAGUGUGAGAGUGUGGAUCACAAGUGCCAUGUAAGACAAGUGGGUUCACUGAGAUGGAUCUGUUCAGAAGGCAGCCAGGGGCUGGAGCCUCAAGAAGUUUGAGCAGAGAUACAGAGUCAUAGUGCAAUUAUUAGUGCAGCUACAAAAGCUCAGAAAAAGCUGAGGAAAUGUCCUGUGCUGGGCUCCACAGGGCUCUGAAGAGAUAAAGGUGAGCAAGUCUAGUGAGCUUUCUAUGCAUGACAGAUACCUGCCAAGCCUUGUGCUAAGAAUUCACAGAUGAAAACAAGGGC
rnacentral:lncRNA from 1 species